rnacentral:rRNA from 1 species
UGCGUGAAGUUGGAAUUGCUAGUAAUCACGGAUCAGCAAGCCGCGGUGAAUACGUUCCCGGGCCUUGUACACACCGCCCGUCACACCAUGAGAGUCGGGAACACCCGAAGUCCGUAGUCUAACCGCAAGGAGGGCGCGGCCGAAGGUGGGUUCGAUAAUUGGGGUGAAGUCGUAACAAGGUAUC